rnacentral:rRNA from 1 species
UACAGAGGUGGCAAGCGUUGUUCGGAAUUACUGGGCGUAAAGGGCUCGUAGGUGGCCAACUAAGUCAGACGUGAAAUCCCUCGGCUUAACCGGGGAACUGCGUCUGAUACUGGAUGGCUUGAGUUUGGGAGAGGGAUGCGGAAUUCCAGGUGUAGCGGUGAAAUGCGUAGAUAUCGGGAGGAACACCAGUGGCGAAGGCGACUACCUGGCCUGUUCUUGACGCUGAGGCGCGAAAGCUAGGGGAGCAAACGGGG